CGGACGGGUGAGUAACACGUGGAUAACCUACCUAUAAGACUGGGAUAACUUCGGGAAACCGGAGCUAAUACCGGAUAAUAUUUUGAACCGCAUGGUUCAAAAGUGAAAGACGGUCUUGCUGUCACCUAUAGAUGGAUCCGCGCUGCAUUAGCUAGUUGGUAAGGUAACGGCUUACCAAGGCAACGAUGCGUAGCCGACCUGAGAGGGUGAUCGGCCACACUGGAACUGAGACACGGUCCAG
rnacentral:rRNA from 1 species